rnacentral:rRNA from 1 species
GCUACUGCCAUCAGGGUUCGAUUAAGCCAUAUUAGUCGAGGGUGCUUCUUCUUCGGAAGAUGUAACCCGGCGGACGGCUCAGUAACACGUGGAUAACUUGCCCUUGGGUCCGGGAUAACCCCUGAGAAAUUGGGGACAAUACCGGAUAGGGCAUCGAUUGCUGGAAUGCGCGAUGUCCAAAAGCUGAGGCGCCCAAGGAUAGGUCUGCGGCCGAUUAGGUUGUUGUUGAUGUAAUGGAUCAACAAGCCUGCAAUCGGUACGGGUUGUGAGAGCAAGAGCCCGGAGAUGGGUUCUGAGGAAAGAACCCAGGUCCUACGGGACGCAUCAGGCGCGAGAACUUUAUAAUGUGCGAAAGCACGAUAAGGGAACUCUGAGUGCCUCCUAUGGAGGCUGUUCAGGUGUCUAAAAAGCACUUGAAGUAAGGGCUGGGUAAGACCGGUGCCAGCCGCCGCGGUAACACCGGCAGCCCAAGUGGUAGCCACGAUUAUUGGGUCUAAAGCGUCCGUAGCCGGCCAGGUAAGUUCUUUGGGAAAUUUAACCGCUCAACGGUUAAGCUUUCAGGGAAUACUGCUUGGCUUGGGACCGGGAGAGGUCAGAGGUACUUCAAGGGUAGUGGUGAAAUCCGUUAAUCCUUGAGGGACCACCAGUAGCGAAGGCGUCUGACCAGACCGGGUCCGACGGUGAGGGACGAAGGCUAGGGUCGCGAACCGGAUUAGAUACCCGGGUAGUCCUAGCUGUAAACGAUGCGGGCCAGGUGUUGGCAUUACUGCGAGUGAUGUCAGUGCCGAAGGGAAGCCGUUAAGCCCGCCAUCUGGGGAGUACGGUCGCAAGGCUGAAACUUAAAGGAAUUGGCGGGGGAGCACCACAACUGGUGGAGCCUGCGGUUCAAUUGGAUUCAACGCCGGA